rnacentral:lncRNA from 1 species
CCCCCACCCCCUGCCCUGACCCUGGACAUGUCCAGUCUAGCUGUGGACAUGCAGGGGACAACACGGCAACGGAUGGGGGUGCAAGGCCUCCCUGGGCACAGCAGCCAUAGGAUGAGCCCCGACAGAGCCGGGCUGUAGGGAGACUCUAGUGCUCUUGGCCCUGUGUCCACAUAGCCAUGUGGCCCUGCUGGCCAGCCUCUCCCAUCCUCCAAGUGGACCAGCCACAGGCUGCGAGCGUGCUCCUAACUCCUGCCACCUGGCCCAAACAGGCGACGUCAAUGACACAGGCUCCAUGCCAGAGCAGCUGAAGAAAGGUGGGCGGAGGCAGGUGCAGGCUCGGGAUGGCCAGGGGGGCAGGCUCUCACCCUCCUGUGUGCUCACCCAUCCUUGUGGACAUGUACAUGUGCAUACACCCAUCCUCAUGGACACACACACGUACAUACGCGCAUACACCAUCCUCACGGACACACACACACGCACAUACACCCAUCCUCAUGUACACACAAACACGCACACACCCAUCCUCAUGGACACACACGCACACAUGCGCAUACACCCAUCCUCAUGGACACACACACACGCGCAUACACCCAUCCUCAUGGACACACGCACACGCACACAUUGUUUCCCAGCCUGGCCUGCCUGGAGGUGUGAGGCCCAUGGUCUCCCUGGCAGGGUGGGGCGCUCUGCCCACAGCCAUCCUGGGCCGUCCUCGA